AUGGUGAAGAGAAGUGCAGAGAAAAGUCAUGGUGGCAUGGCUGCAUGCACAUCAAGUUCUGAACCUCCAGAACUUAACCCAAGGCAGAAUUUCCGUUUAGGAGAUAUAACAUGGGUUAAGCAUGAUGGCUCCUCAUGGUGGCCAGCCCAGGUCAUUGAUGAAGCAUGUGCCAGUAGCAAGGCCAAGAAGAAGACCAGCCAUGAUGCUCUGGUUCGACUGUAUGGCACAUGCCUAGACUUGUAUGUUGACCCUUGGAAGUCUAACAUGGAAUUCGAAAUGUUUCUGAAGAAAGAAAAUAAGACAGCCAUGGAAGCAUUCCAUGAGGUGCUUCAGAAGGAGCUAUCUCAUUUUAAGUCGGCCAGUGAUGAUGAGGAGGAAGUUGUCAACACAAAAGCCAAGACGUCUACUAAGAAAGUCAGAAAGCAAGAAGGCAUAGAGCAGGACCAAGAAGUUCGGAGCAGUGCAAAAGGUGGAGGUGCUGUUCAGAAAGGGAAAAAGCAGAAGGGUGUGAGGCAAGCAAGUGCUCUCGACAAAGCUUUGAGUAUAGAUUCUGCUGAAGGUUUGAGAGAUAAGACACCAAAGCAAGCUUCUGUUGUGCGAGAUAAAAAGAGUGGUAAGAAGGCAUCAUCAGGAACAUCGGUGGCCAAAAAGGAAGGAUCCUCAAAGCGAUCGGGCUGUACCAAUCUGAAGGAUUCAGAUGCGGCGGAGGACAGCACACCACAACUCCAUGAUACAAGCGCAAGUGAAAAUGCAGCUGAAGCAGGAGACAUGGCAUCAGUGAAUCGAAGCCAGCACAAAACUGGUUCGACGGUCGAAGGAACCCACCGGAAGAUAAAAGCUAUGGUCAGGGAUAUACUGCUGGGGGACGUCAUAGACAGGCAGCUUGCUGCUGAAAUGGCGUAUGUGGAUGAAGUGAUCUUUGGAAUCUGUGAAGCUACCGAGGCAAAGGCGGCUGCUACUACUGAGACAGAGGGUGGACUGAGCACCAAGCGGGCCGCUAGUGGGCUGGAGGCUGACUCAAGCCGUGCUGCGAAGAAGAAACCUAGAAAGGGGAAGGCGACAAAGCCCGAGACCAAGGAUCCCAACUCUUCUCCUAGCAGGGGCGCGGCGGCCAAGGGGGGAUCGGAGCAGCGUAGCGCGCGCCAGAUCAAGAUCAUGCAGAGCCUGGGCCUGAUCGCGCCGUUGGGAUCUCCGUUCGACGUGAAGGGUUCUACUGCAGCCGCACGUUGA
rnacentral:rRNA from 1 species